AGAGUUUGAUCCUGGCUCAGGAUAAACGCUGGCGGCGCACAUAAGACAUGCAAGUCGAACGGACUUAACCGAAAGUUUACUUUUGGAGCGGUUAGUGGCGGACUGGUGAGUAACACGUAAGCAACCUGCCUAUUAGAGGGGAAUAACAGUGAGAAAUCACUGCUAAAACCGCAUAUGCCGUGAACAUCGCAUGAUGAAAACGGGAAAAGAGCAAUCUGCUAAUAGAUGGGCUUGCGUCUGAUUAGCUAGUUGGUGUGGUAAAGGCAUACCAAGGCGACGAUCAGUAGCCGGACUGAGAGGUUGAACGGCCACAUUGGGACUGAGAUACGGCCCAGACUCCUACGGGAGGCAGCAGUCGGGAAUAUUGCGCAAUGGAGGAAACUCUGACGCAGUGACGCCGCGUGCAGGAAGAAGGUUUUCGGAUUGUAAACUGCUUUAGACAGGGAAGAAACAAGACAGUACCUGUAGAAUAAGCUCCGGCUAACUACGUGCCAGCAGCCGCGGUAAUACGUAGGGAGCGAGCGUUAUCCGGAUUUAUUGGGUGUAAAGGGUGCGUAGACGGGAAAAUAAGUUAGUUGUGAAAUCCCUCGGCUUAACUGAGGAACUGCAACUAAAACUGUUUUUCUUGAGUGCUGGAGAGGAAAGUGGAAUUCCUAGUGUAGCGGUGAAAUGCGUAGAUAUUAGGAGGAACACCAGUGGCGAAGGCGACUUUCUGGACAGUAACUGACGUUGAGGCACGAAAGUGUGGGGAGCAAACAGGAUUAGAUACCCUGGUAGUCCACACCGUAAACGAUGGAUACUAGGUGUAGGUUGUGAUAAACAAUCUGUGCCGUCGCAAACGCAAUAAGUAUCCCACCUGGGGAGUACGGCCGCAAGGUUGAAACUCAAAGGAAUUGACGGGGGCCCGCACAAGCAGUGGAGUAU
rnacentral:rRNA from 1 species